UAGAACUAACAUCACGAAAAGUCGAAUGAAGGGAUAACACCCUGAAAGGCUUUCUUUAAUACUCCGAUAGGCGUGUAGAUAAAUAAGCAUUGAAGCGUCUAAAGCUCGGUGAAGUCGCGCGAGAACUGCCCCAAGAGGGAAUCUCUUAGGAAACCUAUCCAGAGGUGGAUGGCGUAGUCUAUAGUGCGGAAGUCUAAAAA
rnacentral:ncRNA from 1 species